rnacentral:rRNA from 1 species
AGAGUUUGAUCAUGGCUCAGAACGUACGCUGGCGGCACGCCUAACACAUGCAAGUCGAACGCAGUAGCAAUACUGAGUGGCAGACGGGUGAGUAACAUGUGGGAAUCUGCCUUGUGGUUCAGGACAACAUUGGGAAACCGAUGCUAAUACUGGAUAAGCCCUUACGGGGAAAGUUUUAAUGCCAUAAGAUGAGCCCGCAUUUGAUUAGUUAGUUGGUGAGGUAAUGGCUCACCAAGACAAUGAUCAAUAGCUGAUCUGAGAGGAUGAUCAGCCACACUGGGACUGAGACACGGCCCAGACUCCUACGGGAGGCAGCAGUGGGGAAUCUUGCACAAUGGAGGAAACUCUGAUGCAGCGAUGCCGCGUGAGUGAAGAAGGCCUUUGGGUUGUAAAGCUCUUUUGUAGGGGAAGAUAAUGACUGUACCCUAAGAAUAAGGUCCGGCUAACUUCGUGCCAGCAGCCGCGGUAAUACGAAGGGACCUAGCGUAGUUCGGAAUUACUGGGCGUAAAGCGCGCGUAGGCCGUUGAGUUAGUUAAUUGUGAAAUCCCAAAGCUUAACUUUGGAACUGCAAUUAAAACUGCUCGACUAGAGUUUGAUAGAGGAAAGCGGAAUACAUAGUGUAGAGGUGAAAUUCGUAGAUAUUAUGUAGAACACCAGUUGCGAAGGCGGCUUUCUGGAUCAACACUGACGCUGAGGCGCGAAAGUAUGGGUAGCAAAGAGGAUUAGAUACCCUCGUAGUCCAUACCAUAAACGAUGAUUGCUAGAUGUUGGAAAUUUAUUUUCAGUAUCGCAGCUAACGCAUUAAGCAAUCCGCCUGGGGAGUACGACCGCAAGGUUAAAACUCAAAUGAAUUGACGGGGACCCGCACAAGCGGUGGAGCAUGUGGUUUAAUUCGAAGAUACGCGCAGAACCUUACCAACCCUUGACAUGUCUGUCGCGAGUUUAGGAAACUAGACUUUUCGGUUCGGCCGGACAGAACACAGGUGCUGCAUGGCUGUCGUCAGCUCGUGUCGUGAGAUGUUGGGUUAAGUCCCGCAACGAGCGCAACCCUUGCCAUUAAUUGCCAUCAUUUAGUUGGGCACUUUAAUGGGACUGCCGGUGACAAACCGGAGGAAGGUGGGGAUGACGUCAAGUCCUCAUGGCCCUUAUGGGUAGGGCUUCACACGUAAUACAAUGGUCGGUACAGAGGGCUGCCAACCCGCGAGGGGGAGCUAAUCCCAGAAAGCCGAUCGUAGUCCGGAUUGUAGUCUGCAACUCGACUGCAUGAAGCCGGAAUCGCUAGUAAUCGCGGAUCAGCAUGUCGCGGUGAAUACGUUCCCGGGUCUUGUACACACCGCCCGUCACACCAUGGGAGUGGGUUCCACCAGAAGUAGGUAGCCUAACCGCAAGGAGGGCGCUUACCACGGUGAGAUUCAUGACUGGGGUGAAGUCAUAACAAGGUAGCCGUA